rnacentral:rRNA from 1 species
UACAGAGGGGGCAAGCGUUGUUCGGAAUUACUGGGCGUAAAGGGCGCGUAGGCGGCCUGCUAAGUCGAACGUGAAAUCCCUGGGCUCAACCCAGGAACUGCGUCCGAUACUGGUUGGCUUGAAUCCGGGAGAGGGAUGUGGAAUUCCAGGUGUAGCGGUGAAAUGCGUAGAUAUCUGGAGGAACACCAAUUGCGAAGGCAGCUCGCUGGGACGUGACUGACGCUGAGACGCGAAAGCGUGGGGAGCAAACAGG